UCUCCGUUGGUGAACCAGCGGAGGGAUCAUUACAGAGUUGCAAAACUCCCUAAACCAUUGUGAACGUUACCUAAACCGUUGCUUCGGCGGGCGGCCCCGGGGUUUACCCCCCGGGCGCCCCUGGGCCCCACCGGUGGACUACUAAACUCUUGUUAAUUUUUGUCAAAUCUGAAUCAAAACUAAGAAAUAAGUUAAAACUUUCAACAACGGAUCUCUUGGUUCUG
rnacentral:misc_RNA from 1 species